rnacentral:tRNA from 1 species
AAAACUUUUAUUUUAUAUAGAAUAUUUCACUUACAAUGAAAAGGAAAAAAAGUUUUA